GACGGGGGGGGCAAGUGUUCUUCGGAAUGACUGGGCGUAAAGGGCACGUAGGCGGUGAAUCGGGUUGAAAGUGAAAGUCGCCAAAAAGUGGCGGAAUGCUCUCGAAACCAAUUCACUUGAGUGAGACAGAGGAGAGUGGAAUUUCGUGUGUAGGGGUGAAAUCCGUAAAUAUACGAAGGAACGCCAAAAGCGAAGGACAGCUACUCUGGGAUCC
rnacentral:rRNA from 1 species